GGGCGGAUGGUUUAAUGGUAUAAUACUCCCUUAGCAAGGUUCAUUCACUGAGUUAUGAGUUAUUUGGGAGUGGUUCGGGGUUCGAUUCCCCGUUCGUCCA
rnacentral:tRNA from 1 species